AGCCCGGCGCGUGCGGCGAAAGCCGCGUCCGCCGUUGCCGCCUCUCUCUCUCUCUCUCUCUCUCUCGCCUUCGCCGCCUCCUCCCCGCGCAACGCGGCACGCCCGCCUCGCCCUCCCUCCCUCCUCGGCGCCCCGGCGAUCGAAGGCACCCAACUUAGUUGCCACUACCAAGACAUCUAUUAAGCAGACUGUAUACAAAUUAGUAUCACACAAAGGUGUGGAGAAGACUGCAAGUAGCCAUCAAGGUUCUACCCUGAAGUUACUUAUUCUCUGCCACUGUGACUGAAUGAACACAAACAAUUCUACAUGAGUUCCACUUGUGAGCUAGCGUAAGGCAGAUUUGUGUCAACAACAGCUGGGCUUGUGUCGUUACUCGAACCAGUAUAAUCUUGGAACGCAUGAUUGCUCCAAAGUUCACAUCCUCUAGACCCAGGGUUAAUUAAGGUGAUUAUGAGAUGAGACCCCAGAUACAUGUGUUGAACAGACAAUAUCAUUUGAUACUGAAGGUUCUACCCUGAAGUUACUCUCUGCCAUUAUUAACUGAAUGAACACAAACAAUUCUACAUGAGUUCCACUGGUUAGCUAGCUAUUACAC